rnacentral:rRNA from 1 species
GAGUUUGAUCAUGGCUCAGAUUGAACGCUGGCGGCAUGCCUUACACAUGCAAGUCGAACGGCAGCACGGGAGCUUGCUCCUUGAUUCAGCGGCGGACGGGUGAGUAAUGCCUAGGAAUCUGCCUGGUAGUGGGGGACAACGUUUCGAAAGGAACGCUAAUACCGCAUACGUCCUACGGGAGAAAGCAGGGGACCUUCGGGCCUUGCGCUAUCAGAUGAGCCUAGGUCGGAUUAGCUAGUUGGUGGGGUAAUGGCUCACCAAGGCGACGAUCCGUAACUGGUCUGAGAGGAUGAUCAGUCACACUGGAACUGAGACACGGUCCAGACUCCUACGGAGGCAGCAGUGGGGAUAUUGGACAAUGGGCGAAAGCCUGAUCCAGCCAUGCCGCGUGUGUGAAGAAGGUCUUACGGAUUGUAAAGCGACUUUAAGUUGGGAGGAAGGGCAGUAAGUUAAUACCUUGCUG